CUGGUUCUUAAAAACUAUAUAAAGACCCAGUCUUCUCUCUUUAAAAACACACUGAAAUUCGCACGAACAAAAACACUUCUAAUUAGAUACUUUCUUGCAAUACUGUUCUGAAAUUUUCUUUUCUUGAGGUCCUUUUUUUGGAACUGCUAUUUCAACUUGGCUCUUUCAAGGCUACUAUUUUCUUACUUGUUUUCAUUUGAAACUGGUAUGUCUUUUAUUUAAAUUUUCUGCCUCACCCCCAUGUGUUUACUUUGCAGUUUCAGCCUUUUGUUUACUUUUUUACUACUGUUCAGAGAUUUGUGCUAAUUAUUUUCCUUCCUUUCUUCUGUUUACAUUAUGAAUCCCCAUCCUUACUUUCUUUUAUGUGCUUGUGUUAAUGUCUUUGCUUGGCAGUAUCCUAAUUACUGCCCAGGUCAUAACCUGAUCUACAAUGGAUUAUAACUCUCAAAGUUUGGCUAACAUGCUGGUCAGGGGUGUGCCAUCAUUCCAAUUGCUGGGCAUGACCAGCAACCUGCCAUGUCUCUCCCCGAUCCCCUUCCUCCAGUACACUUGCACUUAUUCUUACACUCUUAAGUUCUGCCCUUCUCAUAUGAGCCUUGCUUUGGGACCUUGAGUUCCCUCUGAAGUUUGACAUUUGAGGGGAAUUUCCACAUUACACUAUAAUUCUGUAUCGUUUUGGGGUAUAAGCACUAUCUGGAGUCCUUUGAUACUCUUGGGAACUUUGACACACCCCAAAUAUGAGAAAAGUCUUUUAGAAACCUUAUCCUGGAAGUUGGUUUAUUUCAUAUUGUUGGACCUUGAGUCUGAAUUAAGAUGUUUGGAUGUAGC
rnacentral:lncRNA from 1 species